rnacentral:rRNA from 1 species
UAACCUGCCCAAGAGAUCGGGAUAACACCUGGAAACAGAUGCUAAUACCGGAUAACAACAGAUGAUGCCUAUCAACUGUUUAAAAGAUGGUUCUGCUAUCACUCUUGGAUGGACCUGCGGUGCAUUAGCUAGUUGGUAGGGUAACGGCCUACCAAGGCGAUGAUGCAUAGCCGAGUUGAGAGACUGAUCGGCCACAUUGGGACUGAGACACGGCCCAAACUCCUACGGGGAGGCAGCAGGA